rnacentral:rRNA from 1 species
UCGAACGAAGUAGCAAUACUUAGUGGCAAACGGGUGAGUAAUAUGUGGGAAUCUACCCUUCGGUCUGGAAUAACAUGAGGAAACUUAUGCUAAUACUGGAUAACCCUUUACAGGAAAAGCUUUAUGCGCCGAUUGAUGAGUCCACACUUGAUUAGUUAGUUGGUGAGGUAAUGGCUCACCAAGACAAUGAUCAAUAGCUGAUUUGAGAGGAUGAUCAGCCACAUUGGGACUGAGACACGGCCCAAACUCCUACGGGAGGCAGCAGUGGGGAAUCUUGCACAAUGGGGGAAACCCUGAUGCAGCGAUGCCGCGUGAGUGAAGAAGGCCCUUGGGUUGUAAAGCUCUUUCGUCGGGGAAGAAAAUGACUGUACCCGAAUAAGAAGGUCCGGCUAACUUCGUGCCAGCAGCCGCGGUAAUACGAAGGGACCUAGCGUAGUUCGGAAUUACUGGGCUUAAAGAGCACGUAGGUGGUUAAAAAAGUUGGUGGUGAAAUCCCAGAGCUCAACUCUGGAACUGCCAUCAAAACUUUUUAGCUAGAGUAUGAUAGAGGAAAGUAGAAUUUCUAGUGUAGAGGUGAAAUUCGUAGAUAUUAGAAAGAAUACCAAUUGCGAAGGCAGCUUUCUGGAUCAUUACUGACACUGAGGUGCGAAAGCAUGGGUAGCGAAGAGGAUUA